CGCAUGGUUCAACAGUGAAAGACGGUCUUGCUGUCACUUAUAGAUGGAUCCGCGCCGCAUUAGCUAGUUGGUAAGGUAACGGCUUACCAAGGCAACGAUGCGUAGCCGACCUGAGAGGGUGAUCGGCCACACUGGAACUGAGACACGGUCCAGACUCCUACGGGAGGCAGCAGUAGGGAAUCUUCCGCAAUGGGCGAAAGCCUGACGGAGCAACGCCGCGUGAGUGAAGAAGGUCUUCGGAUCGUAAAACUCUGUUAUUAGGGAAGAACAAAUGUGUAAGUAACUAUGCACGUCUUGACGGUACCUAAUCAGAAAGCCACGGCUAACUACGUGCCAGCAGCCGCGGUAAUACGUAGGUGGCAAGCGUUAUCCGGAAUUAUUGGGCGUAAAGCGCGCGUAGGCGGUUUUUUAAGUCUGAUGUGAAAGCCCACGGCUCAACCGUGGAGGGUCAUUGGAAACUGGAAAACUUGAGUGCAGAAGAGGAAAGUGGAAUUCCAUGUGUAGCGGUGAAAUGCGCAGAGAUAUGGAGGAACACCAGUGGCGAAGGCGACUUUCUGGUCUGUAACUGACGCUGAUGUGCGAAAGCGUGGGGAUCAAACAGGAUUAGAUACCCUGGUAGUCCACGCCGUAAACGAUGAGUGCUAAGUGUUAGGGGGUUUCCGCCCCUUAGUGCUGCAGCUAACGCAUUAAGCACUCCGCCUGGGGAGUACGACCGCAAGGUUGAAACUCAAAGACGGGGACCCGCACAAGCGGUGGAGCAUGUGGUUUAAUUCGAAGCAACGCGAAGAA
rnacentral:rRNA from 1 species